rnacentral:rRNA from 1 species
AGACCCGAAACCCGGUGAUCUAGCCAUGGGCAGGUUGAAGGUUGGGUAACACUAACUGGAGGACCGAACCGACUAAUGUUGAAAAAUUAGCGGAUGACCUGUGGCUGGGGGUGAAAGGCCAAUCAAACCGGGAGAUAGCUGGUUCUCCCCGAAAGCUAUUUAGGUAGCGCCUCGUGAAUUCAUCUCCGGGGGUAGAGCACUGUUUCGGCUAGGGGGCCAUCCCGGCUUACCAACCCGAUGCAAACUGCGAAUACCGGAGAAUGUUAUCACGGGAGACACACGGCGGGUGCUAACGUCCGUCGUGAAGAGGGAAACAACCCAGACCGCCAGCUAAGGUCCCAAAGUCAUGGUUAAGUGGGAAACGAUGUGGGAAGGCCCAGACAGCCAGGAUGUUGGCUUAGAAGCAGCCAUCAUUUAAAGAAAGCGUAAUAGCUCACUGGUCGAGUCGGCCUGCGCGGAAGAUGUAACGGGGCUAAACCAUGCACCGAAGCUGCGGCAGCGAACGUAUCACCCAAGACAACUUUGCGGAGUUGACGAUUGACGGAGCGAAGCGACGUCAAAGCGUUCAUUAAAGUCGAGUUGGCUUAGGGAUACGUUCGUUGGGUAGGGGAGCGUUCUGUAAGCCUGUGAAGGUGGCCUGUGAGGGUUGCUGGAGGUAUCAGAAGUGCGAAUGCUGACAUAAGUAACGAUAAAGCGGGUGAAAAGCCCGCUCGCCGGAAGACCAAGG